rnacentral:rRNA from 1 species
CAGCUCUCCGAGUGGUGUGGACGUUUAUUGGGCCUAAAGCAUCCGUAGCUGGCUGGACAAGUCCCCUGUUAAACCCACCGAUUUAAUCGUUGGCUUGCGGGGGAUACUGUUCGGCUAGGGGACGAGAGAGGCAGACGGUAUUCCCGGGGUAGGGGUGAAAUCCUAUAAUCCCGGGAGGACCACCAGUGGCGAAGGCUGUCGACUAGAACGCGCCCGACGGUGAGGGAUGAAAGCUGGGGGAGCGAACCGGAUUAGAGACCCGAGUAGUCC